ensembl:lncRNA
GUCGGGGCAGAUCCGUUCGUGUGACACAGCCCCAUACGGGGCCGCCCCACGUGCGCGCACCGCGCUUAAGUAAACAGCCCCGGAGAUACGGAAACGUCUCUGCGGCACUCGGACGGGUUUUCUUUGAUUCGCUCUCAGCGGUAAAAUAAUCAGAGGGGAAAGCAGAGCGGCUCCCGUUGACCUCCGGGGUUCAUUCGCCGGCGCGGCUUCGGAGUGACUCCGAAAGCGGAGUUCGCUUUGGCCGCGGACAGCAGAAAUGCGUUUACUGCGCCGCGACCGAAUGAAAGGAGGGACUCUGUCCUCAGAAACACCGCAUUUCAUUCCCAGUUUGGGUUUUCUUCUUUCCUUUUUCCUCUCGAAAUCUGAAUUUAUUUCGGGUUUUGUGGUUUUUUUUUCAUUCUCUUUCUUUCUUUCUUUUCUCCUUUUCUUUCUUUUCCGUUUUAUUUCUUUUUUUUCCUUCUUCUUCCUUUCCUUUCCCUUCCCUUUCACUUUCCCUUUCCUCUCCCUUUCCUCUCCCUUUCCUUUCCCUUUCUUUCCCUUUCCCUUUCCUUUCCCCUUCCUUUUCAUUUCCCUUUCCUCCCCUUUCCUUUUCCUUCCAUUAUUUCUCUCCUUCUUUCCUUCCUUCUUCCUCUUCCUCUCUUACAUUCAUCUCUUUCUUUCUUUCCUCCCUCCCUCCCUCUCUUUCUUUCUCUCCUCGCACCCUCUCCAUCUUCGCCCCAUUCUUUUUCUCUUCUUCUUCCUCAUAUUCUUUCCCUAUUGUUUCUCUCUCCUCCUUCUCUCCUCUCUCCAUCUCACCCUCCUUCCUCUCCCCUCCCCCCCUCAUUUCCCUCACCCAAUCCUCGCCCCCAAAUUCCCCUUUCCCACCCCAAUCUGAGGGCUUUCCCCCCCCCUGGGGGGUUCCUUUCUGCCCCACCCCACAGCACUUUGCCCCAUUUCUCCACCCCUCCUUUCCCUCCUCAUUAUCCCAUUCCUCUCAUUAUUUUAAGGCCUCACCCCACGAGAUUCGUCCUUCGUGGGGGACACAGCUUAAGGACUGGGGGGGGGGGCACACGUCCUCCUUUGGGAUGCGGGGAGGAAAACUCCCUCUAACCCGCAAUUAGAGGGUUUUAUAGGCUGAUGGGUUUCUGCAAUUAACGCGGAAGUAGUUUGCCUUCCCCCCCCCACACACACCUUUUUUUCUGGCAGCCAUCACCCAGAAGAACCGCACCCUUCCCACUCCCCCCUUCCCCCCCAAAAAAUGGGACCUAAGCAAAUCCCCCAACCCCAAAAAGGCAUUUUGGGGACAAUUUACCUAAAGACGUUUUGGGGAGGAAUGUGCAAGAAUACGCUUUCUAUUCUGUUCUCCAAGUAACCCCAUUUUGUGGGUGCAGUUAUGCCCCCCCACCUUUAUUUUCCUCUCUUUGGGGGGGGGGGGGUCCCUUCCCUCUGCCUCACGUGGCUGAGGGAUGUGCUGGGAUUGCGGUGCGGGGCUUUGCGUGCGCCCACGCGCGGGUGGGAGACCCGGAGACCCCCCUUCUUCGUACCGCACAGCCCCCGGACCCUAAAAUCCUUUUUGGGGCCAUUGAAAGGCGAACCAACAGAGCCCAAAUCCCUUUCUCUUUUUGCUCCUCUCCUUCGCCGGAGGGAGAAGGGAACGGGGAAAUAUUUACCUGCAGACUCGAGCUGACACUUUACAUCUGUGCCCGCUCCUCUCCGCUCUCUGCCUCUGUCGGAACUCAUUCCCCUGUAGAGCUGCGGGGAAAUGGAGAGCUCUGCAAGGAGCCGCGGAUCGCCGGGUCACGCGUGCGGGGAGAAGCGGAGGGAAACGGGCGAUUUCUUAUCAGGUCGGGAUUGAUGCUGGCGGCCUGGUUCUGUACAUCAUCCCCGCGGCUCCUCCUGUUCCAACGCGGCUCCUUUUGCUGGCGGGGCUGUGAAUGAUGGCUGCUGCCGCUCCCCACGCCGCCAGAAUCCUAAUAGCCCCCGGCUUUGAGGUGGGGGGGGGGGGGGGGAGGCAGCGAUGGGGACCUCAUUCCCCCCAGCACAUUUUAGGGGACCCCCAACCCUCCUCCAAAAAUCGGGCCGGGCCCCCUCCUGUUGACACCCCCCAACCCCCCCCCCCCCGCCCCAAACCCGGUGCUGGAGGCGCGGAAGGCACGAAACGUUUUAUUAAAAGGUUUUGAUGGAUUCGCCGUGGGGAUUAACUAAGAUAAUAGUUUAUUGCGCUGCGAAAGAUUAAACUGAACGUACUCCGGUGAACGGAAAAUAGCAAUAAGAAUACCUACCUAUCUAUAAAUAAACAUCGGGGGGGUGGGGGGGGGGGGGGGGGAGCGGGGAGAGCCGUUCGCAGCUUUGGGUCAGUGCGUUCUGCUUAAAUCGGAUCUUAAAUAGGAUCCCCCCCCCACCCCCAACCCCCCCGCCUUGGGGAGCUGCGGGGGUUUCCGCACCCCUUUGCGGGCCCUUCUCCUUCCGAUUGCGGUUAUUAUAAAGGUUUAAGUGUGCGGGAUGCGGCUCUGCGGGCCGUGUGUGCCAUGGGGGUCUCCUUCUCUCCAUCCCCCCCCCCCUCCCCGCUCCAACCCGGGGUGUGGGGGCUCCUGGGGGGGCGGGUGUGGGGGGUGCGGACAUCUCCUCAUCUCCCCUCGGAGAAGCGCAGUUUCUCGUUUUUCCCCACUUUCCCCGAAUUUUCCCGACUCAUUGCGGGCUGUCCGUGCCCCCCCCCCCUCCACUCCCCCUCUACCCCCCCCUCAUUCGCACGUGUGCGCGGAGCUGCGCGCAUCUGUGCCCCCCCCCCCGCAAUCCGGCGGCGUGUGUCGUGUCGGAUUUAAGAGCGUGUUUACACAGCUCGGAGACUUCGAAACACGGCCCCGAAAGGCGAUAAAACGCUGCCUUAAAUCAUCCUGCCCUCGAUCCACCGCUUCCCCAUCUGCAGGCGGGGGGAUCUGCCCUCCAUGUGCUGCUCGGGGCUCCCGUCCGUCCCCCCUCCCCUCAACCCCCCCCCAUCCGUCCGUCCGUCCGCAGACACCCGCAAGAAGGUGUCCCCGUAAUUAGAAGGGGGACCCCAAGGGAUGGGGGGCGGGGGGGGUCCUUAUGGAGAGCACCGCGGCCCUCGGAGCAGUCAAGAAAACGAAGUGGUUUAUUUACUCUACGGUUCUUUUUUCUCUUUUCUUCUUCUUUUCUCUUUUUCUUUUCUCUUUUUAUCCUUUUCUUUUUCUUUUUCAUUUUUUCUCCUUUCCCCCCUUUUUUUUUCUUUUUUCUUUUUUUUCCUUUUUUCCCCUUAUUUUCUUUUUUUUCCCUUUCUUUUCUUUCUUUUCUUUUCCCCCUUCUUCAUUAUUUUUUUCUCUUCCUUUUCUUUUUUCUCCCCUUCCCCCCCUUUCUUCUUCAUUAUUUUUUGUUUCUCUCUUCUCUUCUCUUCUCUUCUCUUCUCUUCUCUUCUCUUCUCUUCUCUUCUCUUCUCUUCUCUUCUCUUCUCUUCUCUUCUCUUCUCUUCUCUUCUCUUCUCUUCUCUUCUCUUCUCUUCUCUUCUCUUCUCUCUUCUCCCUUUUCUUCUUUUAAAUUCCCGUUUACCUACCUACCUACCUAUCUAUCCAUCCAUCCAUCCAUCUACCUACCUACCUACCAAUCCAUUUAUUGCUCUGCCUUUUCCUUACAAAUAAGGCUCUCAGGUGCUGUCCCCACGGACAUCCCCCGCCCGAUGGGACAUUGAAUCUCCCACGGGUGUCCCGUGCUGUGGGGGGGGGGGGGUCGAGUUUCCCUUCCCGCUCCCACCCGAGCUCCGUUUUCUCUCCGGGAGGACCCAACGCCGAACAAAUGGGGUUUUUCCUCCUGGGGGUUUGAGAUGUUUCACCCCCCGGCCGGUGGCUGCGUGCUGCUGCAUCACCACCAAGAAAUGCGGACAAAUCUCUGCACCCCACCGCGGCUCGGGGAUUUUUUCUGUGAUUUUAUUUCAUUUCAUUCCAUUCCCUUUCGUUAUUUUUUUCCUUCCUCCCCCCUCCUCCCCCCCCCCCCCCUCAAUUUGCCCCCUUAACUCCUCAUUGAGGCCGGAUGAACUUUCAGCGUUGGGAUAAGGGCCGAUUCCCAUCUUCUGUCCAUGAUCCAAAGAAACUUUUGCCCCCCCCACCCCCUCAUCGCGGACCGUUCCGGGCGUUAUCGGAGCUCCGAAGUGCGCCGUAAAACGGGAUGGGUGUGUGUGUGUGUGUGGGGGGGGGGGGGGCGAGAGAAGCCCAGGGACGGGCGGAGGGGGUGUUAAUAAUUAAUAUUACCCCCCUCCCCCCCCGGUGGGAGAUGUGCAGAGGCCGAGCUGUGAGCUCAACCCUCAUCUCAGCCUGAAGUUUGUAUAUGUUUCCACCCCGUACAAUAACAGCCGUCCAUGUGUUAAUGGGCCCUCUGAAGCCCCUGACCACUUUCCCCUGCAACUUCCCCCCCCUGUAACUCCCCCCCCCUCCCCGGCUUUCCCCAAUACAAACCCAAUGUUUUCUUUCCAACUUAACCCCGGGUUCAGCAGUUAUCCGGCGGGGCAUUCGGAGCGCUCUUUGUCUCCCAAAAGUCAAGGAGAAACCUUCGCUCCCGCAUCCCUGAAAACACCCCCAGGGCUGUGGGAUUGGGGGGGUGGGAGGGAUGCACAGAACCCCCCCGGCCCUAAUUCCACCCCAGUGUUUUGCAAGCUAAAAAAGGACGCGUAGGGCCCUCCUGAGAGCAAACACGAAACAAAAAACCCAACGCAGUGCCCGCGUGCAGCCACACGAAGGAAAAGGGAUCGGGGUGAGCGGAUGGAGAUGGGGUUUGGUGCUGAGAUCCCACUGUAGUGCUCCGGGGGGGGGGGGGGGGGUUCGGUUCGCUGCGACACAAAGGAGCUCCGCGGCCCCGUUGGAAGGACCGGGAACUCGGAGGGGAUUGGGAAGAGAGAUGAGCAGCUGCUGCGGUUUGUUUGGAACGGAUCAUCACGAGGAAUAAAGAAAAGAAAAGAUUGGGGAAGGGAAAAGGGAUAAAAUUG